CCCCCAGACUCCUACGGGAGGCAGCAGUGGGGAAUAUUGCACAAUGGGGGAAACCCUGAUGCAGCGACGCCGCGUGAGUGAAGAAGUAUUUCGGUAUGUAAAGCUCUAUCAGCAGGGAAGAAGAAGGACGGUACCUGAGUAAGAAGCCCCGGCUAACUACGUGCCAGCAGCCGCGGUAAUACGUAGGGGGCAAGCGUUAUCCGGAUUUACUGGGUGUAAAGGGGGCGCAGACGGCAAUGCAAGCCAGGAGUGAAAGCCCGGGGCCCAACCCCGGGACUGCAUUUGGAACUGUGUGGCUGGAGUGUCGGAGAGGCAGGCGGAAUUCCUAGUGUAGUGGUGAAAUGCGUAGAUAUUGGGAGGAACACCAGUGGCGAAGGCGGCCUGCUGGACGAUGACUGACGUUGAGGCUCGAAAGCGUGGGGAGCAAACAGGAUUAGAUACCCGCGUACC
rnacentral:rRNA from 1 species